GGGGGGAUCCCCACACCUGCUGACUAAUAUCGGGGGGGAAGAAUAACAGAACUGUGUUUAAGAACUUGCGGAGGACAACACUGAAAUGGCGUGAAAUUAGAAAAGAAAAGGAUGAAUUCCGUCACCUGCUCCUCCCACCGCAGUGCCAGAGCCUCCAUGUCCACUUCCUGUUGCUGUUUGUCUGCCUGAGAGCAGAGACGACAUUUAUGUGCAUUAUACUCACAUUUAUGGAUCCAACAAGUGCAGAGCUCUUUCACUGACCUCGGCUGAAACUUCUUUUUGUUUUUUAUCAUUCAAAGGAAAGAGAAGAUGAAACGUCGACAAAGUAGUGGUAAUAUUAUACAACCGGUUUGUAGUUAUGCUCUCUGAGGGAUACUGUCACUUUGUCAUGUGUUAAUAAAUAAAUAAAUAAAUAAAUAAAUA